rnacentral:rRNA from 1 species
UAGGGAAUCUUCGGCAAUGGGGGCAACCCUGACCGAGCAACGCCGCGUGAGUGAAGAAGGUUUUCGGAUCGUAAAGCUCUGUUGUAAGAGAAGAACGUGUGUGAGAGUGGAAAGUUCACACAGUGACGGUAACUUACCAGAAAGGGACGGCUAACUACGUGCCAGCAGCCGCGGUAAUACGUAGGUCCCGAGCGUUGUCCGGAUUUAUUGGGCGUAAAGCGAGCGCAGGCGGUUUAAUAAGUCUGAAGUUAAAGGCAGUGGCUUAACCAUUGUUAGCUUUGGAAACUGUUAAACUUGAGUGCAGAAGGGGAGAGGGGAAUUCCAUGUGUAGCGGUGAAAUGCGUAGAUAUAUGGAGGAACACCGGUGGCGAAAGCGGCUCUCUGGUCUGUAACUGACGCUGAGGCGCGAAAGCGUGGGGAGCAAACAGG